rnacentral:lncRNA from 1 species
GCGGGGCCAACGUUCCCGAAGCCGAGUUCCCCAACGGCCAGCGGGGCGUCUUUAGCUCACCGCUCCCUCCUCCUCGGGACUUUCUCAGACUAGAUGAGGCUGAGUGCAUUCAGUAUGGUAAUAGUUGAGGACGGGGACCUCGGUGUCCAUCGGAAGAUGAAUGGAAAGAAGAGGUGGUUCAUGUAUACAACGGAAUAUUCCUCAGCCAUUAGAAACACAAAUACCCACCAUUUGCUUCGACGUGGAUGGAACUGAGGGUAUUAUGCUGAGUGAAGU